rnacentral:misc_RNA from 1 species
GAUGAAGAACGCAGCGAAAUGCGAUAAGUAGUGUGAAUUGCUGAAUUCAGUGAAUCAUCGAAUCUUUGAACGCACAUGGCGCCUUCCAGUAUCCUGGGAGGCAUGCCUGUCCGAGCGUCGUUUCAACCCUCGAGCCCCCGUGGCCCGGCGUUGGGGAUCUGCCCAGGCAGUCCCCGAAAACCAGUGGCGGACCCGUUACAGGCCCUUCCCUUGCGUAGUAGCAUUCGCCUCGCAUCGGGAGCCGGCGGGCUUCCAGCCUCUAAACCCCCAUCAAGUCCGCCCCGGCGGCACCAAGGUUGACCUCGGAUCAGGUAGGAAUACCCGCUGAACUUAAGCAUAUCAAUAAGCGGAGGA